UACGGAAGGCAGCAGUGGGGAAUAUUGGACAAUGGGCGAAAGCCUGAUCCAGCCAUGCCGCAUGAGUGAAGAAGGCCUUCGGGUUGUAAAGCUCUUUUAGUGAGAAAGAUAAUGACGGUACUCACAGAAGAAGUCCUGGCUAACUCCGUGCCAGCAGCCGCGUUAAUACGGAGAGGGCUAGCGUUAUUCGGAAUUAUUGGGCGUAAAGAGCGCGUAGGCUGAUUAGUAAGUUAAAAGUGAAAUCCCAAAGCUUAACUUUGGAAUUGCUUUUUAAAACUGCUAGUCUAGAGAUUGAAAGAGGAUAGAGGAAUUCCUAGUGUAGAGGUGAAAUUCGUAAAUAUUAGGAGGAACACCAGUGGCGAAGGCGUCUAUCUGGUUCAAAUCUGACGCUGAGGCGCGAAGGGCGUGGGGAGCAAACAGGGAUUAGAUACC
rnacentral:rRNA from 1 species